rfam:Callithrix jacchus chromosome 1, whole genome shotgun sequence
AGCAGAGUGGUGCAAUGGAAGUGUGCUGGGCUCAUAACCCAGAGGUCGAUGGAUGGAAACCGUCCUUUGCUA